rnacentral:rRNA from 1 species
UACGUAGGUGGCAAGCGUUGUCCGGAUUUAUUGGGUUUAAAGGGUGCGUAGGCGGUUUAAUAAGUCAGUGGUGAAAUACGGCAGCUCAACUGUCGAGGUGCCAUUGAUACUGUUGGACUUGAGUACAGACGAGGUAGGCGGAAUUGACGGUGUAGCGGUGAAAUGCUUGGAUAUCGUCAAGAACACCGAUAGCGAAGGCAGCUUACUAGGCUGUAACUGACGCUGAGGCACGAAAGUGUGGGGAUCAAACAGG